rnacentral:ribozyme from 1 species
UUUUUUUUUUUUUUUUUUUUUUUUUUUUUAACCUCGCAAUGUUU